rnacentral:tRNA from 1 species
GUGAGUGUAGCUCAGUUGGUUAGAGUACCAGGUUGUGGCCCUGGGGGUCGGGGGUUCAACUCCCCUCACUCACCCCA